GCGGCUAUGAUGUAAUGGUAGCGUCACAGCCUUCCAAGCUGUUCGUACGGGUUCGAAUCCCGUUAGCCGCUCCA
rnacentral:tRNA from 1 species